AUACGGGAGGCAGCAGUGAGGAAUUUUGGACAAUGGGGGCAACCCUGAUCCAGCCAUGCCGCGUGUGUGAAGAAGGCCUUCGGGUUGUAAAGCACUUUCGGACGGAACGAAAUCGCGCGGGCGAAUAUCCCGCGUGGAUGACGGUACCGUAAGAAGAAGCACCGGCUAACUACGUGCCAGCAGCCGCGGUAAUACGUAGGGUGCGAGCGUUAAUCGGAAUUACUGGGCGUAAAGUGUGCGCAGGCGGCGUCGCAAGUCGAGUGUGAAAGCCCCGGGCUUAACUUGGGAAUUGCGCUCGAAACUACGGUGCUGGAGUGUGGCAGAGGAAGGUGGAAUUCCACGUGUAGCGGUGAAAUGCGUAGAGAUGUGGAGGAACACCGAUGGCGAAGGCAGCCUUCUGGGCCAACACUGACGCUCAUGCACGAAAGCGUGGGGAGCAAACAGGAUUAGAUACCCCGGU
rnacentral:rRNA from 1 species